rnacentral:rRNA from 1 species
GACGAAGGAUGCAAGCGUUAUCCGGAUUCAUUGGGUUUAAAGGGAGCGUAGGUGGCCCAGUAAGUCAGUGGUGAAAUCUCCUCGCUUAACGAGGAAAUUGCCAUUGAUACUGCAGGGCUUGAGUACAGUUGCCGUUGGCGGAAUAUGACAUGUAGUGGUGAAAUACUUAGAUAUGUCAUAGAACACCGAUUGCGAAGGCAGCUGACGAAACUGUAACUGACGCUGAGGCUCGAAAGUGUGGGGAUCAAACAGG